rnacentral:rRNA from 1 species
UACGGAGGGAGCUAGCGUUGUUCGGAAUUACUGGGCGUAAAGCGCACGUAGGCGCUUUGUAAGUUAGAGGUGAAAGCCUGGAGCUCAACUCCAGAAUUGCCUUUAAGACUGCAUCGCUUGAAUCCAGGAGAGGUGAGUGGAAUUCCGAGUGUAGAGGUGAAAUUCGUAGAUAUUCGGAAGAACACCAGUGGCGAAGGCGGCUCACUGGACUGGUAUUGACGCUGAGGUGCGAAAAGCGUGGGGGAGCAAACAGGG